GUGGUUGCUAGGGUGUUGCUAUGUGGUUGCUAGGGUACCCGGGGUGGUUGCUAGGGCGGUUGCUAGGGUCCCCAUGAUGGUUGCUAGGGCCGUUGCUAGGGUACCCAGGGUGGUUGCUAGGGUAAUUGGGGCGGUUGCUAGGGUGUUGCUAUGUGGUUGCUAGGGUACCCGGGGUGGUUGCUAGGCAGUUGCUAUGGUCUCCUGGGUGGUUGCUAUGAUGUUACUAGGUGGUUGGUAGUUGUCACAGAUGGUCACUAUGUAGUUAUUAUAGAGUUCUUAGCCCAUUUGAGCACUUAGCUAAUCACUAUUAGCAUGUAGCUAAUCACUGCUAGCAUGACUAGCAUGUUGGAAGUCCAGUGUGCUAGCAUGAGUCAAAAAAUCCAACCGCCAUGUCUGUACGAUGUUCUGAUGCAUAGAUAUAGGUCGUGCAAAACGGUUGCUAGGGUACUCCAUUUGGUUGCUAUGGAGUGGCUUGGCAGCUGCCAAUGGUGAUACUCCAAAGGCUGCUCGUCAAUAUAAACCAACCCCCAUGCCUCUACGAUGUUCUGAUGCAGAGAUAUAGAUCUUGCAAAACGGUUGCUAGGGUACUGUGUUUGGUUGCUAGGG